CCUUUUCUUGUUCUCUCCGCCUAUAUACCGCCGUCGUCAGCUUACCCUAUGAAGGCCCCUUAGUAAGCACAAUUAGUACAACCCAAAACGUCAGGUCGAGGUGUAGCGUAUGGAAAGGGAAGAAAUGGGCUACAUUCCCUAUUACAGGUAAUUACGGAUAAUAUUACUGAAACGUGUAUCUAGAAGGAGGAUUUAGCAGUAAGCAGAAAAUAGAGUGUUCUGCUGAAACCGGCCCUGAAGCGCGCACACACCGCCCGUCACUCUCCCCGAACGUUUACCCACAACUUAACUUAAAACCUUACAUUAGUAAAGGGGAGGCAAGUCGUAACAUGGUAAGUGUACCGGAAGGUGCACUUGGCAAAAC
rnacentral:rRNA from 1 species